rnacentral:misc_RNA from 1 species
AACCAUAGAAACCUGCGGAGUACCUGCGGAGGGAUCAUUACAGAGUUGCAAAACUCCCUAAACCAUUGUGAACCUACCUCCUACCGUUGCUUCGGCGGGCGGGCCUAGCGCCCCCCCGGCCCCCCGCGGGCGCCCGCCGGAGGAUAACCAAACUCUUGACAUCAGUGGCCUCUCUGAGUAUUCUUUACUGAAUAAGUCAAAACUUUCAACAAUGGAUCU